GGUAGGGGAGCGUUCUGUAAGCCUGUGAAGGUGUGUCGUGAGGCAUGCUGGAGGUAUCAGAAGUGCGAAUGCUGACAUAAGUAACGAUAAAGCGGGUGAAAAGCCCGCUCGCCGGAAGACCAAGGGUUCCUGUCCAACGUUAAUCGGGGCAGGGUGAGUCGACCCCUAAGGCGAGGCCGAAAGGCGUAGUCGAUGGGAAACGGGUUAAUAUUCCCGUACUUGGUGUUACUGCGAAGGGGGGACGGAGAAGGCUAUGUUGGCCGGGCGACGGUUGUCCCGGUUUAAGCGUGUAGGUGUGUGUUCCAGGUAAAUCCGGUUCACUUUAACACUGAGGCGUGACGACGAGGCACUACGGUGCUGAAGCAACAAAUGCCCUGCUUCCAGGAAAAGCCUCUAAGCAUCAGGUAACAUCAAAUCGUACCCCAAACCGACACAGGUGGUCAGGUAGAGAAUACCAAGGCGCUUGAGAGAACUCGGGUGAAGGAACUAGGCAAAAUGGUGCCGUAACUUCGGGAGAAGGCACGCUGACACGUAGGUGAAGUGAUUUACUCAUGGAGCUGAAGUCAGUCGAAGAUACCAGCUGGCUGCAACUGUUUAUUAAAAACACAGCACUGUGCAAACACGAAAGUGGACGUAUACGGUGUGACGCCUGCCCGGUGCCGGAAGGUUAAUUGAUGGGGUCAGCGCAAGCGAAGCUCCUGAUCGAAGCCCCGGUAAACGGCGGCCGUAACUAUAACGGUCCUAAGGUAGCGAAAUUCCUUGUCGGGUAAGUUCCGACCUGCACGAAUGGCGUAAUGAUGGCCAGGCUGUCUCCACCCGAGACUCAGUGAAAUUGAACUCGCUGUGAAGAUGCAGUGUACCCGCGGCAAGACGGAAAGACCCCGUGAACCUUUACUAUAGCUUGACACUGAACAUUGAGCCUUGAUGUGUAGGAUAGGUGGGAGGCUUUGAAGUGUGGACGCCAGUCUGCAUGGAGCCGACCUUGAAAUACCACCCUUUAAUGUUUGAUGUUCUAACGUGGACCCGUUACCCGGGUUGCGGACAGUGUCUGGUGGGUAGUUUGACUGGGGCGGUCUCCUCCUAAAGAGUAACGGAGGAGCACGAAGGUUGGCUAAUCCUGGUCGGACAUCAGGAGGUUAGUGCAAUGGCAUAAGCCAGCUUGACUGCGAGCGUGACGGCGCGAGCAGGUGCGAAAGCAGGUCAUAGUGAUCCGGUGGUUCUGAAUGGAAGGGCCAUCGCUCAACGGAUAAAAGGUACUCCGGGGAUAACAGGCUGAUACCGCCCAAGAGUUCAUAUCGACGGCGGUGUUUGGCACCUCGAUGUCGGCUCAUCACAUCCUGGGGCUGAAGUAGGUCCCAAGGGUAUGGCUGUUCGCCAUUUAAAGUGGUACGCGAGCUGGGUUUAGAACGUCGUGAGACAGUUCGGUCCCUAUCUGCCGUGGGCGCUGGAGAACUGAGGGGGGCUGCUCCUAGUACGAGAGGACCGGAGUGGACGCAUCACUGGUGUUCGGGUUGUCAUGCCAAUGGCACUGCCCGGUAGCUAAAUGCGGAAGAGAUAAGUGCUGAAAGCAUCUAAGCACGAAACUUGCCCCGA
rnacentral:rRNA from 1 species